AAAUACUUUGCAGAACUAUGGUGAGC
rnacentral:piRNA from 1 species